GUACCUUCAAGCUCUGCUUGGUGUUGGGUGUUUGUCUCCUGUAGACUCGCCUUAAAACAAUUGGCAGCCGGCGUAUUGAUUUCGGAGCGCAGUACAUCUCGCGCUUUGCACUCAUAACGACGACAUCCAAAAGUACAUUUUUACAC
rnacentral:misc_RNA from 1 species